UCUCCGUAGGUGAACCUGCGGAGGGAUCAUUACAAGUGACCCCGGUCUAACCACCGGGAUGUUCAUAACCCUUUGUUGUCCGACUCUGUUGCCUCCGGGGCGACCCUGCCUUCGGGCGGGGGCUCCGGGUGGACACUUCAAACUCUUGCGUAACUUUGCAGUCUGAGUAAACUUAAUUAAUAAAUUAAAACUUUUAACAACGGAUCUCUUGGUUCUGGCAUCGAUGAAGAAUGCAGC
rnacentral:misc_RNA from 1 species